rnacentral:rRNA from 1 species
AGAAUCAACGCUGGCGGCGUGCCUAACACAUGCAAGUCGAACGAGAAAGUGGAGCAAUCCAUGAGUAAAGUGGCGCACGGGUGAGUAACACGUGACUAACCUACCCUUGAGUGGGGGAUAACCUAGGGAAACCUGGGCUAAUACCGCAUAAUACCUUCGGGUCAAAGGAGCAAUUCGCUUAAGGAGGGGGUCGCGCCGAUUAGUUAGUUGGCGGGGUAAUGGCCCACCAAGACUGUGAUCGGUAUCC